rnacentral:rRNA from 1 species
AUACGGAGGGGGCUAUCGUUGUUCGGAAUUACUGGGCGUAAAGCGCGUGUAGGCGGAUCGUUAAGUCAGGGGUGAAAGCCCGGGGCUCAACCCCGGAACUGCCCUUGAUACUGGCGAUCUAGAGUCCGGAAGAGGUGGGCGGAAUUCCCGGUGUAGAGGUGAAAUUCGUAGAUAUCGGGAGGAACACCAGUGGCGAAGGCGGCUCACUGGUCCGGCACUGACGCUGAGACGCGAAAGCGUGGGGAGCAAACAGGAUUAGAUACCCUAGUAGUCC